AUAACGCUGGCGGCAGGCUAACACAUGCAAGUCGAGCGGUAACAGGUCCUUCGGGAUGCUGACGAGCGGCGGACGGGUGAGUAAUGCAUAGGAAUCUGCCCGGUAGUGGGGGAUAACCUGGGGAAACCCAGGCUAAUACCGCAUACGUCCUACGGGAGAAAGGGGGGCUCCGGCUCCCGCUAUUGGAUGAGCCUAUGUCGGAUUAGCUAGAUGGUGAGGUAAUGGCUCACCAUGGCGACGAUCUAUAGCUGGUCUGAGAGGACGAUCAGCCACACUGGGACUGAGACACGGCCCAGACUCCUACGGGAGGCAGCAGUGGGGAAUAUUGGACAAUGGGCGCAAGCCUGAUCCAGCAAUACCGCGUGUAUGAAGAAGGCCCUCGGGUUGUAAAGUACUUUCAAUUGUGACGAAAGAUUGAUGGUUAAUAACCAUCGAUUCUGACAUUAACUUUAGAAGAAGCACCGGCUAACCCUGUGCCAGCAGCCGCGGUAAUACAGGGGGUGCGAGCGUUAAUCGGAAUUACUGGGCGUAAAGCGUACGUAGGCGGAUAUUUAAGUCAGAUGUGAAAGCCCCGGGCUCAACCUGGGAACUGCAUUUGAAACUGGGUAUCUAGAGUUUGGUAGAGGCAGGUAGAAUUCCUAGUGUAGCGGUGAAAUGCGUAGAUAUUAGGAGGAAUACCAGUGGCGAAGGCGGCCUGCUGGACCAAAACUGACGCUGAGGUACGAAAGCGUGGGGAGCAAACGGGAUUAGAUACCCCGGUAGUCCACGCCGUAAACGAUGUCAACUAGUCGUUGGGACCCUUGAGGUCUUAGUGACGCAGCUAAACGCGUGAAGUUGACCGCCUGGGGAGUACGGCCGCAAGGCUAAAACUCAAAUGCUGUUACGC
rnacentral:rRNA from 1 species